AGUUUUUGUUUUGUAUAUGGAAAUCAUCAAGUAGACAUUGAAAUCUACAACUAACAAUAGUUUCGGGCCAGUCUGACUUUCCCAAUUUCCGCCCACAGUAGAGACCAUAAGCCAAAGAUCAUGCCCUGCUGCAGACGCUUCUGUCGAGCCUGUCGUCGCUGGUACUGUACCAGAAGCCUGAAGUCGAGCUGUGGGGCCUAUCGUGGCCCCUGUUCCGGACCGUGCGGGGGCCCCUGCUAUGGCGAAAGCUGUGGAACCUGCUGUGGCAACUGCUCCUGCUGCUGUGUGAUUUGCUCUAGUGGCCUCGGAACGUGUGGCCAGCCCUGCUGUAGAUCCUACAUCUGAUGGAUCUAUAAGGAGUUUGGACUUUACUGUGUGUGCAAAUUGGGGACUCUUGUGAAAAUGUAAUCUGAAAAUGUU